rnacentral:rRNA from 1 species
UACGGAGGGUGCAAGCGUUGUUCGGAAUCACUGGGCGUAAAGCGCGUGUAGGCGGCCCAUUAAGUCUGAUGUGAAAGCCCGGGGCUCACCCCCGGAAGUGCAUUGGAAACUGAUAGGCUCGAGUCCCGGAGAGGAGGGUGGAAUUCCUGGUGUAGCGGUGAAAUGCGUAGAUAUCAGGAGGAACACCGGUGGCGAAGGCGGCCCUCUGGACGGUGACUGACGCUGAGACGCGAAAGCGUGGGGAGCAAACAGG